GAGGUAAUUCCAAUGAGGAAUUCUGCACUGAAUUUGACAUUAGGAAUUAUUCCAUUGGAGCUUGUUCCAAGGUAGGAUUCUCCAUUGAAUUUCACCUUAGGAAUUAUUCCAUUGGAGCUUGAUCCAAG